UACGUAGGGGGCAAGCGUUGUCCGGAAUCAUUGGGCGUAAAGCGCGUGUAGGCGGUCCGGUAAGUCCGCUGUGAAAGUCGGGGGCUCAACCCUCGGAUGCCGGUGGAUACUGUCGGGCCUGAGUACGGAAGAGGCGAGUGGAAUUCCUGGUGUAGCGGUGAAAUGCGCAGAUAUCAGGAGGAACACCAAUUGCGAAGGCAGCUCGCUGGGACGUUACUGACGCUGAGACGCGAAAGCGUGGGGAGCAAACAGG
rnacentral:rRNA from 1 species